UGAAACCAGGUCUACGAUGAAUACUACAUAUUUAAAGCUUUUCGUUUGUCUGCUUUUAUUUUUUAUACCAGCAAUUUGCUGCUCUACCUAUACUACUGGCUCCAAUAUACGAAAUGCUAUAUUUAAAAAUACCAGGAAACCUCGAAAGGGCCGAUAAUAGAUGUUAAAGCCUAUAAGUGAACCGAAGAACAAUCCCACCAAAUCUUACUGUAUAGAAAAAUUAUCAGUUGUUUUUGUGCUUAUCAAGUACACACACUAACAAAUAAACAACACCAAAUGACUUUAUUGACAUAGGAAUAAAUUUGAAGUACAGUAAAUAAAUUGUGUGCCAACUCAAGCAA